rnacentral:rRNA from 1 species
UACGUAGGGGGCAAGCGUUGUCCGGAUUUAUUGGGCGUAAAGAGCGUGUAGGCGGCUUGGUAGGUCCGCUGUGAAAACUCGAGGCUCAACCUCGAGAUGUCGGCGGAAACCACUUGGCUAGAGUCCGGAAGAGGAGAGUGGAAUUCCUGGUGUAGCGGUGAAGUGCGCAGAUAUCAGGAAGAACACCUAUGGCGAAGGCAGCUCUCUGGGACGGUACUGACGCUGAGACGCGAAAGCGUGGGGAGCGAACAGG